rnacentral:rRNA from 1 species
AUUGAACGCUGGCGGAAUGCUUUACACAUGCAAGUCGAACGGCAGCACGAGAGCUUGCUCUUGGUGGCGAGUGGCGAACGGGUGAGUAAUAUAUCGGAACGUAUCCAAUAAUGGGGGAUAACUAAUCGAAAGGUUGGCUAAUACCGCAUACGCCCUACGGGGGAAAGCAGGGGAUCUUCGGACCUUGCGUUAAUGGAGCGGCUGAUAUCUGAUUAGCUAGUAGGUGAGGUAAAGGCUCACCUAGGCUUCGAUCAGUAGCUGGUCUGAGAGGACGACCAGCCACACUGGAACUGAGACACGGUCCAGACUCCUACGGGAGGCAGCAGUGGGGAAUUUUGGACAAUGGGGGCAACCCUGAUCCAGCCAUUCCGCGUGAGUGAAGAAGGCCUUCGGGUUGUAAAGCUCUUUCGCAAGGGAAGAAACGUUACGAGCGAAUAACUCGUGAUAAUGACGGUACCUUGAUAAGAAGCACCGGCUAACUACGUGCCAGCAGCCGCGGUAAUACGUAGGGUGCGAGCGUUAAUCGGAAUUACUGGGCGUAAAGCGUGCGCAGGCGGUUUUGUAAGUCAGAUGUGAAAUCCCCGAGCUCAACUUGGGAACUGCGUUUGAAACUACAAGGCUAGAGUAUGGUAGAGGGGGGUAGAAUUCCACGUGUAGCAGUGAAAUGCGUAGAGAUGUGGAGGAAUACCAAUGGCGAAGGCAGCCCCCUGGACUAAUACUGACGCUCAUGCACGAAAGCGUGGGGAGCAAACAGGAUUAGAUACCCUGGUAGUCCACGCCCUAAACGAUGUCUACUAGUUGUUGGGAGAGUAAAAUCUCUUAGUAACGCAGCU